GUGACGUCAGACUCCAGACCAUGUAUUUCCUGACUCCCAUCUUGGUAGCCAUUCUCUGCAUUUUGGUUGUGUGGAUCUUUAAAAAUGCCGACAGAAGCAUGGAGAAAAAGAAGGGGGAGCCUAGAACCAGGGCCGAAGCUCGCCCCUGGGUGGAUGAAGACUUAAAAGACAGCAGUGACCUGCACCAAGCAGAAGAAGAUGCUGAUGAAUGGCAAGAAUCAGAAGAAAAUGUUGAACACAUCCCCUUCUCUCAUAACCACUAUCCUGAGAAGGAAAUGGUUAAGAGGUCUCAGGAAUUUUAUGAACUUCUCAAUAAGAGACGGUCAGUCAGGUUCAUAAGUAAUGAGCAAGUCCCAAUGGAAGUCAUUGAUAAUGUCAUCAGAACGGCAGGAACAGCCCCGAGUGGGGCUCACACAGAGCCCUGGACCUUCGUGGUUGUGAAGGACCCAGACGUGAAGCACAAGAUUCGAAAGAUCAUUGAGGAGGAAGAGGAGAUCAACUACAUGAAAAGGAUGGGACAUCGCUGGGUCACAGACCUCAAGAAACUGAGAACCAACUGGAUUAAAGAGUACUUGGAUACUGCCCCUAUUUUGAUUCUCAUUUUCAAACAAGUACAUGGUUUCGCCGCAAAUGGCAAGAAAAAAGUCCACUACUACAAUGAGAUCAGUGUUUCCAUCGCUUGUGGCAUCCUGCUAGCUGCCCUGCAGGUUUUUGGAAAAAUUAUCCUGAAGGAGCUGGCAUUGAUUUCCUUCCUGAAUCUGUAAGCAGGUAAAUAAUGGAAUCACCAUGCGGCAUCAGACUGCGAGGCACCGCCACCUGAUUGAGGGUCCUGGAAGAAGCAGCGAAGCCUGCAGCAAGCUCAGCUCACAAGGCUGCCCAGAAUGCAGGUCUGGUGACUGUCACUACCACUCCUCUCAACUGUGGCCCUCGACUGAGGGUGCUCCUGGGCCGCCCCGCACAUGAAAAGCUGCUGAUGCUGCUCCCCGUGGGGUACCCCAGCAAGGAGGCCACGGUGCCUGACCUCAAGCGCAAACCUCUGGACCAGAUCAUGGUGACAGUGUAGGCAGGGCCCCCCAAGGGAGUGGCAGGGAGAUGGCGCCCCUGCUUUUCCCUGAGCCUCUCGCCUGCUCCUCUUGGGUCUCUUGGCUGCUCUUUCUCCAGGUGUCAGGUCCCCUCAUUGCUCUUCUCAGGUGGCCACACUAUGUCAAGAAGCCUCUCCACACUCUGUGGCACUUCCAGUCCCAUAAAUCCUGUUUCUUAUCCACUUUGGAAAUGCAUGAACACUUUACAAAGAACAUGCCCGGGUUUUUACAUUUUAAAAGUUAUUCUAGACAAUCACUAUUGGCUUUUUUCUUUUAUUUUUAAAAAACUCACAUAGAGGAGACAAUCAGAAAUUUACCAUAGUCCCAAGAAUUCAGCUACAUGAUGACUCGAAUUUAAAUUUAGAUUAAUCAAAUGGUCUCCUGUUCUCUGAUUUCUGGUGGCUUUUAGACACUAAUUUUUGAGAACUACUUUUUUUUUUUUACCAAACUUCAGGGACACUCUGCUAGUUUUGAAUAAGUAACCAUCAAAGUUACUAAAACAUGGCCAGGCGCAGUGGCUCAUGCCUGUAAUCCCAGCACUUUGGGAGGCCGAGGUGGGCAGAUUGCCUGAGCUCAAGAGUUCGAGACCAGCCUGGCCAACAUGGUGAAACCCCAUCUCUACUAAAAAUACAAAAAAUUAGCUGGGCAUGCACUUGUAAUUCCAGCUACUCAGGAGGCUGAGGCAAGAGAACUGCUUGAAUCCGGGAGGUAGAGAUUGCAGUGAGUCAAGAUGCUGAGAUGCCACCACUGCACUCCAGCCUGGGCAACAGAGCGAGAACCUGUCUCAAAAAAAACAAAAACAAAGUUACUAAAAUGUCACCUUCACAGAACAGGACAGGGUACCCUUGGGUCGCACGGGCCUGGCUGGCAUGUAAACGGUCAGUUGCACUGCCUAGUGGUUUGGUAGAUCUGACUUGUAAGCAGUUCAUAGAAGCUGCUCAAUACUCAAGAAUCUUGCAAGACAGUUAUUAAACAUUCAUAGCUUGAAAUUGCCCAUGGUGGGAGAGUUUACAUCACAACCACUACAAAUCAGCACUUGCUUUCUUCUUCUUAAAGAGAGCUGCUUACCAUACAUAGCACCCACAGUGUCUCCCUUCUCUUCUACCCCAACCCCUGAAACACACUGACCCCUAUUCUCCAGAUGACAGCACAGCUGUUUGGGACUGAUAGGGUCACAGUUGCCAGGUUGGGAAUGCUAGAUGUAGUCUUCACCCAUCACCUUCUGUCGUCCUCCCAGGGGUGUCAUAUUUACAGAGGCAAACUCUUACAGCUUGGAUGAUUUCUCAUCAAGCAACUCUACUCACCUCUUUUUCCCCUUUCCCUGUGCGUUUCUUCUUCUUGUCCUCAUUUUCCUUGAGAAAACUCUCUCUAUAAAAAAUUUCCAUAGAGUAUGUGGCUGAUAAACAACAGAAAUUUGUUUCUCACAGUUCUGGAGGCUGGAAGUCCAAGGUCGGGGUGCCCUCAUGGUCAGGUGCUGGUGAGGACCCUGAUCUGGGUUGCAGACUGCUGACUUCUUAUUGUGUCCUCGUGGUAGAAAGAGGGUUAGAGCCUCUGGCAUGCCUUUUAUAAGGGUACUAAUCCCAUCAUGAGGCCCCGUCCUUAUGACCUCAUCACCUCCCAAAGGACCCCCUCCUAAUACCAUCACAUUGGGGGUUAGGGUUUCAACAUAUGAAUUGCGGGGGACACAAACAUUCCGUCCAUGGCACCUACUUCAUAGGGUUUGGCAUGCUGCUCGGUACAUGGUUAACAUUCAUAAAUGGUGGGGGCCCUUACUGUGGUAGAAACCAUUGUCACUGCAAGGCAGCCCUGCUUGGGAUUCAGGUGAACAAAUGUAACGUGGGUGGGUGAGGGACUCCCUCCUCUUCAGAGAAGCCCUCCUGUGGCUCAGGGGCAGCUGCAGGGCCAGAUGGAGUUGGCCUGCAGGGAGUCAGCCUUACCCCAUCAGAGACCAACUUGAAAGAUUUUUUUCUCUGUGUAGUUCGUGUUAUCAAUCUGAUCUGCAGCCAGGUUAUUUACUUCUGAAGCAUUGGAGUUAUCGAUUGCCAUUGCCCCAUGGUUCUCACUCUUUGCAGGCACUCUUCAAAUUUUUAUUUUAAAAAUUAUAAUGCAAACAUCUGGCCAUCACCUUAACCAAGUGACAAAGUCCUAGCACACCAUUAAUGGUAGGAUAACUGACAUUAAGUGUUCCUGCUGGGAUGAAUUAUGAAGUAUUCCUUCCAAAGAUGUCAAUGGAAACUAAUCGAGUCUUACACCUAAUUUUCAGUUUACAGUAAAUACAGAGGAUAAAGAAGUUAAUGGCAUGGUGGAAUAACCAAAAUGUGUAUCAUUCUACAAAAAAAUAGGCCUGGACUAUUUAAGGAGUGAGUGUCACUGUGGGAAGAAUAAGAGGGGGACUGUCUUGUCCUUGCUACUCAAAGAGUGGUCCUGGGCCUGUAUCAUCAUUGGGACCACCUGGGCGCUUGUUAGAAUCAAAGACUCUCAGGCCUCACCUAGACAUCCAGAAUCAAAAUCUGCAUUUUAACAAGAUGCCCAGGUGAUCUGCAUGCCUGUUAAAGUCUGAGCUCUGUUGCAGAUAACCAGAGACCCAACAACCAAAGGCAAAGCGUAAGCCUUGAUUGGAUUUUGGUUUAGGAAAAAUCUCAUAGGUAUAAAAGACAACUGGGAAUGUUGAAUGUGGAUCUGGUGGUAGGUGAUAUUGUUAGUGAUGUGAGUGAUGCCUGCUGAAGUACUGAGAGAUGAAGCAUCAUAUUGACAACUUACUCCAGGAAAAAAGGUGUGUGUAUAGGUGUGUGUUUGGAGAGUGUGAGCGAGAACUAACAUGGUAAAAUGUUAGGUGGAGCAUAUACAGUUCUCAUUAUACUCUUAUUUUAAAUUUAUAUUUGAACACAGUCAAAUCUGAAUGGAAAUACAUUUAAAUAAGCAUUUCUUUCAGUCAUAUAAGUAAUUUGCCUAAAAAUGCCCUCUAAGUCCAUCAUUAGGUUAAGCGAUUUACUGAAGGUGCAGAUAUCAUGCUUAUUUCAUUGGGUUGUUUUGGAAUGUCCCCCACUUGGAGAGUUUGAGGAAUGGAAAUGAGAAUCGGAGGAGAAAUAAGGCCAGAGGCUCACAUUGCUUGCAGGGAACCGACUGAGUAAUGAAGAAGAGGAAGGAAGCCCUUGGAAGGAACGUAAAAUCCAUUUCAGCCUGCCGCCCCUUGGAAUGGAGGGUCUUCUAGGGACCAGAAACACCAGACACUUCUUCUGCCCCAAGCACACCCCACACUAAUUUCUGCUGCAGCAUCACGAUCAGGGCAAAUCAGCACAGCCCCCCAGCCAUCAGUGGUGUCUAGAAAAGUAAGGAUAAUUUUCUUCCUUCUCACUGCAGCCCCAAGCUCUUAUUAACCUUCUUUUAUGUGUUCAUUAAAUGCAGUCAUGUGACAACUGUGUUCAAAGUUAGAAAUAGUGGUCGGGGAGGCUUAUAGAUCCUCUUGCUGUUCUGAGGCCUUAAAACCAAAAAAAUAAUGGAAUGAUUGCAUCACUGCGAGGAAGUAUACUUAAUUAAGAAAGUUGAAAAUGGUUUGUGUCUUACUAAUAGGACUCACCUGAAGACUCUACUUUGCCAAGAGGGAAUUUUUAACUCAAAGUUGUGUCAGCCAGCACGGGGUAGAGCCAUGGUCCUCAUACUUGCUGGCAUCCCUCAUCUGGUGGUCUGUUAAAGCACAGAUUGCUGGGCCGCACCCUCAGGGUGUGUGAUUGUGUGAUUCAGUAUUGCUGGGUGGUGCCCAAAUGCUCCAGUUCUAAUGUAUUCCCAGGUGUUGCUGAUGCUGGUGAUUGGGUACCACAUUUUGAGAACCAUGGGGCAUUGGCAAUCAACAAAUGCAAUGCUUGUGACUUGACGUGAUAAAAGUUCAUUUAUUGGGCAGGCAAAGUCCUCUGCAGGCCUGGAAACCCUCCGAGACAAUUACUUGCAUGGGGUAACCCAGUAAUACUGUGGGAUGCAACUUCUAGGGCAUGGCUGCCUCCUUCCUAGAGGCAGCAGGGGGAGAAAACACUGGAAGAGGUCACCCCAACAAUUCCAUCGUACCUUGGCCUAGGAGUGACCUCCUCAGUCUCACAACCCUUUGGCUAGAACUAGUCAUGUGACCUCACAGGAGGUGGAGCAGUGUCGUCAAUGUUAUCAUCCCCCUGCACCUGCAAGGAAGGAGGCCCAGAUGUGUGUAGGUGCUGGAUGUCUCUUCCCCAAAACAUAUAACUCUGGAUUUGGAAAACAAAACUGGAUAUAACAGAAAAGAAAAGGAGGGGAGAAGGAAAGUUGAAGAAAUUGGUGAAAUCAGAAUAGGACAGUGAAAGGCAUAAAGAUUUUCUUCUGAAACGCUAAGAUCGGUUGAUAUUUGUCUAAUACAGCUUUAAAUAGAGUAUCACUUUGGGCCAAAGAAAAUUGAUAUAAACAUACAUAAAGUGGAACUAAGAUUGACUUCUUCCUAGACAUCUCUGCCUCUGUCCACAAAAUGGAAACUUCCAUCAAGGAGUACUGGAGGACAGUUCAGUAUUUCUUCUUAUUUGCUCCUCCCUAUGAAAGGAAGAGUGACUUCUCUGCUGCAUGAUAUUGGGGGUAAAUAGUUAUUGCACAUUUGCUCAAACCCCAGCAAAGUGCACCCCAUUUUAAGCCAAAUUUACAAACUUACAAAGAUGAUCCACCAAUAGUUUUCUCUAUUUACUUUAUUCUUGCUCUGUCACCCAGGCUAGAAUGCAGUGGUGUGAUUAUAGCUCACUGCAGCCUCCAACUUCUGGACUCAAGUGAUCCUCCCACCUUAGCUUCCCAGGUAGCUGGGAUACAGGUGCACGCCACCACACCCAGGCUAGUUUUUCUAAAUAUUGGAGUUCCCAAAGAGUAUUCAAACUGAUGUGAUAUUUUAAAAGACAUUUUGUAAGCAUCUUUUAGGAAUAUCAGUAAGUGGAAGAAAAACACAUAGUUAUCAGUGGAUAUUAUGCCAGAGAGGCAUGAGAAAUAUAAUUUUAUUUUGCUAGGUAUCAGCAGAGUGCCCUCUUAUAAUUUGUGUGAAAUGGAAACAAAGGUAACAUCGUGUUUUCAAUUCACACAUAUAUACAAGUAAUGAGAGGUCCAGAAGAAAUGUGGCUUCAGCUCUGCUGCUACUGUGCCUCCCUUCUCCUGCCCCACUCAGCCCACAAAAUAGGCUGGACACUCAAAAAACGUUGCGUUUAUCUACCUUUUAGAGAGGGUGAAUAGCAGAGAACUGGAGGUGGGAAUGGUAAGGAACUCCCAGCAGGGUAGUGGAGGGAAUGGGCUGACGCAUCUAAGGCUGAUGCCAGGUCUGCUCCCUAUCUGGGUGGCCUCAGCAAAUGACGUCCAGCACAUCCAGGGGCAGGCUCAAGGGAGAACAGCCCCCAAAGCUAAGAUCCUGCCAAGCUAAAUACAGUAGUUCUAAUGAAAUGUGAGAGGCUAUAAUCCCAUUUGGGAAAUUCCUAAAAAGUCAUGAGGCAGGGGAUUGGUUUAUGUUAUUAUCAUGACCUGAGAGUCAUGGCUCAGAGCCAAAUGUUCAGGAUUGAAUUCAACAGCAUUUAAAUGUCUUUAGAGCAGGAUGGAAAUAUGUUAGCAAUGCCUGCAGAGUGCCAAGUAAACGCAAAAGCCAAUGAGAUCAUAAAGGAAGUUGUUAGCUAACCUAGGUGGAGUCGCCAACUUCCUUCUACUCUAAUAAUUAAAAAUAAAAAUAAUACUUGGGAGGUAACUGGAAUAAAGGUUCUAAAAUCAAAACCCUCUGAAGGGUGAAAACUGGGAGCCUCCUGUUCCCAUAGUAACCACAGCACUCAGGGCACUGUCUCCCAGCGCUGGAGUACUGUCUUAUGACCAGAGAUCCUAAGCAACCUCUGCUCAUCUGAGUUGUCCACCAUAUUGUGGGCAUGAGUCCUUGACAAUAGUAAAUAGCACCUCUGUUCCCUUAUUGGGUAAAUGAUUUUCCAACUCUGGGAAUGUGUAGAAUUCAUUAUGGAAAUAAUGCAAUAAUUCAAAUCCAUAAUAUUGAUACUUUCAUGUUAAGUUUAGGACUAAUCUUGUGUAUGCUCCUUAAGUGAUUUGAAUCUUUAAAAAGCUUAUGAUUCCAAUUUGAAAUGUGAAAUUGAUUUUACGUUUGUGAUUUGAAGUUGAAAGGUAUAAGAAUAUUUAACUUAGCUCAUGAAAAGUAUUAGACUAGAUUUACUAUAAGUUUAAUGUAUUAGAUUUACAAGAGAUGCUUAAAUAUAUGAGAAUGUUUUGUCUUAAUUGGUUAUAAUCUUGUCAUAUCAAUGAUUUGAAGUGCUAAAAUAGAAAAUUAAAUAUGAUAAAUUACACAAGAAGUUUAGAAUGUUUAAAAGAUUUUAAUAAACAAAGCCUAUAACUAAGACUGAUGCUUUAAGGGAGUUUGGCUUAUUCAACUUGAGUUAAUCAAACAUUAAUUAAAGCCCCCCUUCCCCAAAGAGAUUUGUUUUAUUUAUUUGUUUACUAGUUUUAUAAAUAGGAUAAUAAAAUGUGUGUAUGAGGUCAGAAUGCUUUUGACAGAAGUAAUACAAACAAAAAAACCUCACUAUAACCCAAACAAAUAAGGGAUUAUUUUUCCCUCCUAGUGAGAAGUCUGGAGGUAGAUAUUAGAUGCUGGUCUAUUGCUUCAAUGAAGUUAGUGCCAAAGUCUCAGUGGUUCUCUUGGUCUUUCUUCAUAACCACCGGAUGCUGUUAUAGCUUCACCAAUCACAACAAGCACAGUGCUUGGAACAUAAUAGGUGCUCAAUAAAUAUUCAGUACAUAUUGAAUGUGUGCAGAAAUAUAUCUCAAUCUAGUCAUAAAAUUUUAGAAUGCAAGAUCUGAAAGGGACAUGGGAAUCUGUGUUUUUAACGUGUUCCAGGUGAUUCUGCUGACCAGGUGAGUAUGGUAAAUGUGGCAAGUAUUCUCAAGUGAGCUCAUCAGUCCCAGGGCUGUUAGCACCUUCCAUCUGCCAGGCCCUCCCUGGUCUAGACCUUCAGCCUUGACCUUGCCCUGAAACGCCAAACUCUUACUCCCAGCUGCUUUCUCUGUCCCUCCACUUAGAUGUUAGUAGGCACCACAACCUUUUAAUGCUCAAAAUACUACUUUUGAGUCCUUUCCACCCCUUACUUGGCCCCUCAAUUCAUACUUUUUGGGAUGGAGCCUCAAAUCCAGAAAUCUUCUGUAUUAGUCCAUUCUCACACUGCUAAUAAAGAAUACCUGAGACUGAGUAAUUUAUAAAGGAAGGAGGUUUAAUUGAUUCACAGUUCAGCAUGGCUGGGGAGGCCUCAGGAAACUUACAAUCAUGGCAGAAAGAAAAGCAAACAUGCCCUUCUUCACAUGGUGACAGGAAGCAGAAGAAUGACAACUGAGUGAAUGGGGAAACCCCUUAUAAAGCCAUCAGAUCUCAUGAGAACUCACUCAUUCUCAUGAGAAUAACAUGGGGGAAACUGCCCCCAUUAUUCAAUUAUCCCCCAUCAGUUCUCUCCCAUGACAUGUGGGGAUUAUGGGAACUACAAUGCAAGAUGAGAUUUGGGUGAAGACAUAGCCAAACCAUAUCAUCAUCUUAAAUUUCUGUGAUUCUUUUAUUCUGCACAUCCAAAUCCAUGAGCAAGUUAUACUGACUUUAUCUCUGAAUAUUGACCAUGGGAGGGGAACAAGGAGAAGCAGUGUGAACAGGAAAAGCAUGCUGCCUGCUGCUGUGAAUAAUAACAUAUCUUGCUCUGA